rnacentral:rRNA from 1 species
UACGUAGGGUGCGAGCGUUGUCCGGAAUUAUUGGGCGUAAAGAGCUCGUAGGCGGCUUGUCGCGUCGGAUGUGAAAGCUCGGGGCUUAACUCCGGGUCUGCAUUCGAUACGGGCAGGCUAGAGUUCGGUAGGGGAGAUCGGAAUUCCUGGUGUAGCGGUGAAAUGCGCAGAUAUCAGGAGGAACACCGGUGGCGAAGGCGGAUCUCUGGGCCGUAACUGACGCUGAGGAGCGAAAGCAUGGGUAGCGAACAGG